rnacentral:rRNA from 1 species
UACGUAGGGGGCAAGCGUUGUCCGGAUUUAUUGGGCGUAAAGAGCGUGUAGGCGGCUAGGUAGGUCCGUUGUGAAAACUCGAGGCUCAACCUCGAGACGCUCGGAGUGGAAACCAUCUAAGCUAGAGUCCGGAAGAGGAGAGUGGAAUUCCUGGUGUAGCGGUGAAAUGCGCAGAUAUCAGGAAGAACACCCGUGGCGAAGGCGGCUCUCUGGGACGGUACUGACGCUGAGACGCGAAAGCGUGGGGAGCGAACAGGAUUAG